CACGUAGGGCGCAAGCGUUGUCCGGAAUUAUUGGGCGUAAAGAGCUCGUAGGCGGCUUGUCGCGUCGAAUGUGAAAUCUCAGGGCUCAACUCUGACAUUGCAUUCGAUACGGGCAGGCUAGAGUUCGGUAGGGGAGACUGGAAUUCCUGGUGUAGCGGUGAAAUGCGCAGAUAUCAGGAAGAACACCCGUGGCUAAGGCGGCUCUCUAGUACGGUACUGACGCUGAGACGCGAAAGCGUGGGGAGCGAACAGG
rnacentral:rRNA from 1 species